ACACACACACCCUAAGCAACUCUACUAGCAGAGAGACCGCUCAGAGUCAGAUAACAGGUCUGGGGAGAGCCAAAAGGCCAUGGCAUAACAGACCAUAGCCUUGUGAAAACUCUUCCCUUGAUUCCAUAAGCUCUGCAGGUCCCUGUCUCUGUGACUGUGCCCUCUUAGGUUCCCAUGCAAGCUCCCGCUCCUCCUCCCUCCACUUCGUGCCUUUUGGCCUGGAGCCUCCAUCCUGCCCCUUCUCACCAGAGGAGCAUCCUCACCUAGUCUCUGUCCCAGACCCCCGACAACCACAUCCCAACUGAGCUCAGCAUCUUCCACCAAACCGGGGCUGACUCCGCCAUCCCACCCAGUUGAUUGUGCCAGACCCCUUGGUACUGUCCUUGCCCCCUCUGACCCAUCAAUCCAUGAAGCCCCCGAAUCCUUGUGUCUGGUUCCUUCUGACCCCCUGCAUCUGGCUCCUUCCAUCUUUCCCAUCUCACGCCCUGGUCCCAGUCGCACCCAUUGGUUGCCAAGCUCCUCUCUCCCUUUGGGCCUCCCUCCAUGCCCCAGAGGAAUCUUGGCACCUGGAACUGGCGUUGACCCUCCCCAGCUCACAACCUUCUCCUAGCUUCCCACUGGCCUCAGGAGGGAGUCACUGUGACCACUGGGGCUGUUGCUCCCACCUCCUUCUCCAUCCCCUGAAAACUUUGAGCCUUUCCACACCUCCCCCUUUGCGUCUCUCUGUCUGGAUGAUCUUUCCUUGGCCCUCAAGAAGCCCCUGAACAACCUUCCCCCAGAAAGCUCCCCUCCACCCCAUCCGACAGAGUCAGUCUUUCUCCCCACCAUCCUGGGCUCUGCCUGCUGUCUCGCUUCCCCCACUGGACUUGCAGCCCCCCAGUGGCCAGGGCCUGGGGCAGCCUCUCAUCAGCAUCCCCAGUGAGACCAAGGAUAAAGGAUGAGCUCAGGAAAAGCCAGCUGAAGGAGUAAAUGAAUUAAUGAAAGCCCCCAGCAGGCCUCUCCAGGUCCCGGAGCAGUAGUCACCUGUACAGAGACAGAGGACAGCUGAAACCCAGCCCAGGUAGAAUGACCAAGAGAAGAAGGUCUGGAUCUGAGGGUGUCGAGGCUGGUUCCACCGCUCGCUGGUAUAGACCGCCAUGGCCACCACAGCAAAAAUGGCUGGGGAUGAAGAUGAGAGAGGGCUCAGACCCUCUGCAGAAACUCACCAGUCCCCAGAGCCCAAGUGCAGCCCGGAGCCUACCUGCAGCAAAAGCCAUGAUAGAGGAGGAGAGGGGCCCGUAGCCUCGAACGGACAGUGAGGGGACGUAGGACAAGAUCAGGAAGAUCACCGACACCAGCCCCGACAGCGCGGCCAGAAUGCUGAGGCUCUGCGUCGCGCGGAUGUAGCCUGCCCCGAGGUCCUAGACAGAGCCUCACCUCACCGAUGAGCAGGAAGAAGGUGAAGGUGUCGCAGCCCAGGUGGAAGGUGCAGGCUCAUGUGACUUCCAAACCAAGGGAAUGGCCUAGAAGAAGACCUCUGUCACAAAGAUGACACGAGCCAGCAGUCCCACAGCAGCCGGUGAAGGGGAGACUCAGAGGGACUCAAGAGGCCGGGGCCUCUUCCGUUACUGGAGUCUCCAGUUUGCAGGCCCCUAUCUCUCACCCAGACCCUCACCACCAAGGUAACUGGCCAGUCCUGAGAACGUGCUCACGAAUGCAGGCUUUCAGGGGCAGAUUCGGGUCAUAAGGAGCAGGGGCACCGACGCAAAAAUGGCGGUAUGUGUACCUCUAGUGGAGAGCAGUGGACAGGCUUCAGGAAUCCCGGCCAAGGGAGUGUCAGAGCCCAGAGGUCACCUGCAAUCUCUACCCCACGCUUAACUCCACCCCUGUCCUCCAACACAACCCCAGUAUCAUCCCUAGACCUAACCCCAAACUCAGCCCCAUUCCUAACCUCAUCUCCAAACCAAACCCAACCCUGUCCAUAACCCAGCUCUACCCACAAAUUCAACCCCGUCCUGAUUCCUAAACCAAACCCUAUUUUCAUUGCCAAGACCGGCUCUAAACCCAGUCCCAUCCCCAACCCCAAAUACAACCCACUCCUUAACCCCAGCUCCAGUCUCUAAUUUAACCCCAUCCUCCAAACUAACCUGACCUCCAUCCUCUUAUUCACAAACUCAGCCCCAACCCCAUGUCCAAAUCCAAGUUCAGCCUCAAACUCAAACCCGUCCUCAUUCCGAGACUUAAUGCUAACCUUGUUUGGAACUUCACGCCAGAUCACACUUCCAGCACCACCCCAACCUUCCUCCCGCUCUGUCCCACCCUUUAUAAUUCCGACCUCAGCCCUACUCAUAUUCAUCUCAAUCCCACCUGUUUCAUCCCCCCCACCCACACACACACUGUAGAGAAUGGACUAUGGAGGCAGGCGGGGGGUGGGGGACAGGAGGAGGGGCAGAGCUGGUUAGGAGACUGAGGCCAUAAGCCAGGUGAGACAAGAUGUGAGUCCUAACUGGGUGAUCAAGGAACCUGGACACAGUUUUAAGGUAGAGCCAACACCGCUUGCCGGUGAAUCAGAUGUGGGAUGCAGCAAAGCAGCUGCUGAUGAUCCCAGGACUCUUGGCAGGAGCAGCUGGAUGACAAUCAGGCAAGAUGGGGAGAUAUGGGAGGAGUUGGUGUGGGAUGUGGGAGAGACCAGGACACCUGAGAUUUGAGAUGCCUCUUCUUUUCAAGUGGACACUGGAGAUGAGUCUGGAAUUACCACAUCAUUAUUAUUGCUAGAAUAAACUCCUAUAAAUAUGA